rnacentral:misc_RNA from 1 species
ACUUGAAAGUGACUUUCGACUUGAAUGAAUAGGCAGAGCAAUUAUAGUAAUACAAUGUGGAUGUUUAAUCCACGCAGGAGGUAACAAUAUGUUACAAGGUACAGUUAAAUGGUUCAACGCAGAAAAAGGUUUCGGUUUUAUUGAAGUAGAAGGACAAGACGAUGUCUUUGUACACUUCUCUGCUAUUCAAGGCGAAGGAUUCAAAACUCUAGAAGAAAAUGAACAAGUUACUUUUGAAGUUGUUGAAGGCGACCGUGGCCCACAAGCGGCUAACGUCCAAAAAUAAGUAGGAUGAAAAGACUUCCGAAUCGUUCGGAAGUCUUUUUU